UUACGACCAUAUCACGAAUGAAACACCGAUUCUCGUGCGAUCACCGAAGUUAAGCAACGUUGUGUCUGGUUUGCACCUAGAUGGAGGACCGUUUGGCCAUAC